UACGUAGGUGUCGAGCGUUAUCCGGAAUUACUGGGCGUAAAGGGCACGCAGGCGGUCUUUCCAGUCUGACGUGAAAGCUCCCGGCUUAACUGGGAGAGGUCGUUGGAAACUGAAAGACUUGAGGUAGUGAGAGGGAGGCGGAAUUCCCGGUGUAGUGGUGGAAUGCGUAGAUAUCGGGAAGAACACCAGUGGCGAAGGCGGCCUCCUGGCACUGACCUGACGCUCAUGUGCGAAAGCGUGGGUAGCGAACGGG
rnacentral:misc_RNA from 1 species